UCCUGAGAUCUUAUCAGGAAGCUGCUGAUCACCAGCUUCAGGUGUUUCUAUUUAUUGGGAGACUGUCUUUCCCUGGCACCAGCUGCAACCAAUGAUUACUUUAGAGAGACAGUUUAACAACUGCCUGACCAUCACCUGAUGGUCAUCUGACAUUCCCAAUAAGAGCCCAGGCCAAAGGACACCUUGAUUUUGACCUUGUCAGACCUGGAGUUGAAAAACCAGCUGCACCCUUCUAGAAUUCUUACUUACAAAACUGGAGAUGUUACAAGACAAGAUGAUUUCACUGGAAGCUGAGUUUUGCCAGCUUUGGGGAAAUGCUGAUGCAGAACAUCAUUUAUUUAAGGCUGAUACUCAUGGAUAGAAGAGUCAAAGUGCGAAUAUAUGCACCCUUCUAUACGGAUUCUGCAGAAAGAUAUGCUUGGGUCAUGACUCAGACAAUUUGGAGAGAAUUCCCUGAAACAUUCACUGUACAACUCUACUUUCUUGAAUACUUACUAUAAUUAAAGUUCAUUUCUGAUUUACAUAA
rnacentral:lncRNA from 1 species